rnacentral:rRNA from 1 species
AUGAACGGUUUUACUUUAAAUAAUUUUGCUUUGUUUAAUAAUUAAAUUUAUAGUUUAUGUAAAAAUACAUAAUUUUAUUAAAAAGACGAUAAGACCCUAAAAGUUUUAUUUUAUUUUAUUUAAUAUCUCUAUAUCCAAUUAAAUUUUAAUAAAAUUUAAUUGGGGUAAUUUUUAUUUUAAUAAUAUAUAUGUUUACUUUAGGUUUUUGAACCUUUAUAUAAGGGUGUUGAUUUAACUACUUUAGGGAUAACAGCGUAAUUAUCUUGGAGAGGGCGUAUCUAUAAGAUUUGUUGCGACCUCGAUGUUGAAUUAAUAGGUCUACUUAAAGCAGUCUUUAAGGUAGAGGGUUUGUUCAACCUUUAAUUUGUUACAUGAUUU